UCUGUAGAUCACUUUAGGCCUGAACGCGCCCGAUCUCGUCUGAUCUCAGAAGCUAAGCAGGGUCGGGCCUGGUUAGUACUUGGAUGGGUGCAAGCUCUAUCUUGUUCACAGAU
rnacentral:rRNA from 1 species